GACGAACGCUGGCGGCGUGCUUAACACAUGCAAGUCGAACGGAAAGGCCCUGCUUUUGUGGGGUGCUCGAGUGGCGAACGGGUGAGUAACACGUGAGUAACCUGCCCUUGACUUUGGGAUAACUUCAGGAAACUGGGGCUAAUACCGGAUAGGAGCUCCUGCUGCAUGGUGGGGGUUGGAAAGUUUCGGCGGUUGGGGAUGGACUCGCGGCUUAUCAGCUUGUUGGUGGGGUAGUGGCUUACCAAGGCUUUGACGGGUAGCCGGCCUGAGAGGGUGACCGGCCACAUUGGGACUGAGAUACGGCCCAGACUCCUACGGGAGGGAGCAGUGGGGAAUAUUGCACAAUGGGCGGAAGCCUGAUGCCGCAACGCCGCGUGCGGGAUGACGGCCUUCGGGUUGUAAACCGCUUUCGCCUGUGACGAAGCGUGAGUGACGGUAAUGGGUAAAGAAGCACCGGCUAACUACGUG
rnacentral:rRNA from 1 species